rnacentral:rRNA from 1 species
GUUAGGAAUAUUGGACAAUGGGCGCAAGCCUGAUCCAGCCAUGCCGCGUGAGUGAUGAAGGCCUUCGGGUUGUAAAGCUCUUUAGUCCACGAAUAUAAUGACUGUAGUGGAAGAAUAAGCCCCGGCUAACUUCGUGCCAGCAGCCGCGGUAAUACGAAGGGGGCGAGCGUUAUUCGGAAUCACUGGGCGUAAAGCGUGCGUAGGCUGUUUUGUAAGUCAGAAGUGAAAGACCAGGGCUUAACCCUGGAAUUGCUUUUGAAACUACAAGACUCGAAUUCGGGAGAGGAUAGCGGAAUUGUCAGUGUAGCAGUGAAAUGCGUAGAUAUUGACAGGAACACCAGUGGCGCAAGCGGCUAUCUGGACCGAUAUUGACGCUGAGGCACGAAAGCGUGGGGAGCAAACAGGAUUAGAUACCCCGGUAGUCC